CAGUGGAUAAACGUAUUAACCUUAUAAGAGAUACCUUAAGAAUUCCCAACGAGAAAUCAGAUAAAAAGUAAUCUGAUAAAUACAUAAAGAUUUCAAUGCAAAUAGACCCACAUUUCCUGUAGACACUAUCAUUAAGGAAGACAUUUAUCAAGAAUGGAACAAACCAGAUAGAAAAGCUAUGCUAAAGAACAAAGCAUACAUAUUCUCAAGAUGACUGCAAAUCAUGGAAUUCAGUUCCAAAUAUAGACGCUGCAGUAAUUUGCAGAGAACCACUCUG